GAUGAACGCUGGCGGCGUGCCUAAUACAUGCAAGUCGAGCGAACAGACGAGGAGCUUGCUCCUCUGACGUUAGCGGCGGACGGGUGAGUAACACGUGGAUAACCUACCUAUAAGACUGGGAUAACUUCGGGAAACCGGAGCUAAUACCGGAUAAUAUAUUGAACCGCAUGGUUCAAUAGUGAAAGACGGUUUUGCUGUCACUUAUAGAUGGAUCCGCGCCGCAUUAGCUAGUUGGUAAGGUAACGGCUUACCAAGGCAACGAUGCGUAGCCGACCUGAGAGGGGUGAUCGGCCACACUGGAACUGAGACACGGUCCAGACUCCUACGGGAGGCAGCAGUAGGGAAUCUUCCGCAAUGGGCGAAAGCCUGACGGAGCAACGCCGCGUGAGUGAUGAAGGUCUUCGGAUCGUAAAACUCUGUUAUUAGGGAAGAACAAAUGUGUAAGUAACUAUGCACGUCUUGACGGUACCUAAUCAGAAAGCCACGGCUAACUACGUG
rnacentral:rRNA from 1 species